CCUACGGGUGGCAGCAGUGGGGAAUAUUGCACAAUGGGGGCAACCCUGAUGCAGCGACGUCGCGUGAGCGAUGACGUAUUUCUGUAUGGUAAGCUCUAUCUGCAGGGGAGAAAGUCACGGUACCUGUGUAAGAAGCUCGGGUAAAAUAAGUGCCAGCAUCCGCUGGCAUACUGCUGGAGCAAGCGUUAACCGGAUUUACUGGGGGGAAAGGGGGCGUAGGCGGCAUGCCAAGUUUCGUGGGAAAUACCGGGGGUCAACCCCGGGUCUGCAUUGGAAACUGGCAGGCUGGAGUGCCGGAGAGGCAGGCGGAAUUCCUAGUGUAGCGGUGAAAUGCGUAGAUAUUAGGAGGAACACCAGUGGCGAAGGCGGCCUGCUGGACGGUGACUGACGCUGAGGCUCGAAAGCGUGGGGAGCAAACAGGAUUAGAUACCCCAGUAGUC
rnacentral:rRNA from 1 species